rnacentral:rRNA from 1 species
GGCGCACGGGUGCGUAACGCGUAUGCAACCUACCUUUUACUGGGGGAUAGCCCGGAGAAAUCUGGAUUAAUACCCCAUAGUACCUAGAGGUCGAAUGAUUUUUAGUUUAAAGAUUUAUCGGUAAGAGAUGGGCAUGCGUCUGAUUAGCUAGUUGGCGGGGUAACGGCCCACCAAGGCGACGAUCAGUAGGGGUUCUGAGAGGAAGGUCCCCCACACUGGCACUGAGAUACGGGCCAGACUCCUACGGGAGGCAGCAGUAGGGAAUAUUGGGCAAUGGUCGCAAGACUGACCCAGCCAUGCCGCGUGCAGGAAGACGGCCCUCUGGGUUGUAAACUGCUUUUAUCUGGGAAGAAAAAGUCCAUGCGUGGAAAAUUGCCGGUACCAGAUGAAUAAGCACCGGCUAACUCCGUGCCAGCAGCCGCGGUAAUACGGAGGGUGCAAGCGUUGUCCGGAUUUAUUGGGUUUAAAGGGUGCGUAGGCGGCUGAAUAAGCCAGCGGUGAAAGACUUCGGCUUAACCGGAGCAGUGCCGUUGAUACUGUUUAGCUUGAGUGUUGGAGGGGUACAUGGAAUUGAUGGUGUAGCGGUGAAAUGCAUAGAUACCAUCAGGAACACCGAUAGCGAAGGCAUUGUACUGGCCAACAACUGACGCU